rnacentral:lncRNA from 1 species
UUACAUACCUGGACGGAGUCUUUGGGUGAUCAAGGAAGCCCAUGACUUAGACUGAUGACUUCCAUUGCACUAAAAAGGAAGGGAAUUGGUCUAAGGUCUACCCAACGUUGGUAGUACCUACGUCGUAAUUUGUGGUAGUGAGGGUGCUGCGUCCGCGCGGAUCCCUCUCUUAUUCAGUUCAAUCAUUUCAUUUAUUAUGCGGAUCCCGCGUUGGUAGUACAUGAUAUAUUUUUAUGGGUGCUGCUAGGCACUGGAUAAGGACAAACUUUACU